rnacentral:rRNA from 1 species
AUUGAACGCUGGCGGCAGGCUUAACACAUGCAAGUCGAGCGGGGAAGGUUGCUUCGGUAACUGACCUAGCGGCGGACGGGUGAGUAAUGCUUAGGAAUCUGCCUAUUAGUGGGGGACAACAUUCCGAAAGGGAUGCUAAUACCGCAUACGCCCUACGGGGGAAAGCAGGGGAUCUUCGGACCUUGCGCUAAUAGAUGAGCCUAAGUCGGAUUAGCUAGUUGGUGGGGUAAAGGCCUACCAAGGCGACGAUCUGUAGCGGGUCUGAGAGGAUGAUCCGCCACACUGGGACUGAGACACGGCCCAGACUCCUACGGGAGGCAGCAGUGGGGAAUAUUGGACAAUGGGCGGAAGCCUGAUCCAGCCAUGCCGCGUGUGUGAAGAAGGCCUUUUGGUUGUAAAGCACUUUAAGCGAGGAGGAGGCUCUUUUGGUUAAUACCCAAGAUGAGUGGACGUUACUCGCAGAAUAAGCACCGGCUAACUCUGUGCCAGCCGCCGCAGUAACAC